rnacentral:rRNA from 1 species
AGAUUAAGUUAUUAAGGGCGCACGGUGGAUGCCUUGGCACUAGAAGCCGAUGAAGGACGUUACUAACGACGAUAUGCUUUGGGGAGCUGUAAGUAAGCUUUGAUCCAGAGAUUUCCGAAUGGGGAAACCCAGCAUGAGUUAUGUCAUGUUAUCGAUAUGUGAAUACAUAGCAUAUCAGAAGGCACACCCGGAGAACUGAAACAUCUUAGUACCCGGAGGAAGAGAAAGAAAAUUCGAUUCCCUUAGUAGCGGCGAGCGAAACGGGAAGAGCCCAAACCAACAAGCUUGCUUGUUGGGGUUGUAGGACACUCUAUACGGAGUUACAAAGGACGACAUUAGACGAAUCAUCUGGAAAGAUGAAUCAAAGAAGGUAAUAAUCCUGUAGUCGAAAAUGUUGUCUCUCUUGAGUGGAUCCUGAGUACGACGGAGCACGUGAAAUUCCGUCGGAAUCUGGGAGGACCAUCUCCUAAGGCUAAAUACUCUCUAGUGACCGAUAGUGAACCAGUACCGUGAGGGAAAGGUGAAAAGCACCCCGGAAGGGGAGUGAAAUAGAACCUGAAACCGUGUGCUUACAAGUAGUCAGAGCCCGUUAAUGGGUGAUGGCGUGCCUUUUGUAGAAUGAACCGGCGAGUUACGAUUUGAUGCAAGGUUAAGCAGUAAAUGUGGAGCCGUAGCGAAAGCGAGUCUGAAUAGGGCGUUUAGUAUUUGGUCGUAGACCCGAAACCAGGUGAUCUACCCUUGGUCAGGUUGAAGUUCAGGUAACACUGAAUGGAGGACCGAACCGACUUACGUUGAAAAGUGAGCGGAUGAACUGAGGGUAGCGGAGAAAUUCCAAUCGAACCUGGAGAUAGCUGGUUCUCUCCGAAAUAGCUUUAGGGCUAGCCUCAAGUGAUGAUUAUUGGAGGUAGAGCACUGUUUGGACGAGGGGCCCCUCUCGGGUUACCGAAUUCAGACAAACUCCGAAUGCCAAUUAAUUUAACUUGGGAGUCAGAACAUGGGUGAUAAGGUCCGUGUUCGAAAGGGAAACAGCCCAGACCACCAGCUAAGGUCCCAAAAUAUAUGUUAAGUGGAAAAGGAUGUGGCGUUGCCCAGACAACUAGGAUGUUGGCUUAGAAGCAGCCAUCAUUUAAAGAGUGCGUAAUAGCUCACUAGUCGAGUGACACUGCGCCGAAAAUGUACCGGGGCUAAACAUAUUACCGAAGCUGUGGAUUGUCCUUUGGACAAUGGUAGGAGAGCGUUCUAAGGGCGUUGAAGCAUGAUCGUAAGGACAUGUGGAGCGCUUAGAAGUGAGAAUGCCGGUGUGAGUAGCGAAAGACGGGUGAGAAUCCCGUCCACCGAUUGACUAAGGUUUCCAGAGGAAGGCUCGUCCGCUCUGGGUUAGUCGGGUCCUAAGCUGAGGCCGACAGGCGUAGGCGAUGGAUAACAGGUUGAUAUUCCUGUACCACCUAUAAUCGUUUUAAUCGAUGGGGGGACGCAGUAGGAUAGGCGAAGCGUGCGAUUGGAUUGCACGUCUAAGCAGUAAGGCUGAGUAUUAGGCAAAUCCGGUACUCGUUAAGGCUGAGCUGUGAUGGGGAGAAGACAUUGUGUCUUCGAGUCGUUGAUUUCACACUGCCGAGAAAAGCCUCUAGAUAGAAAAUAGGUGCCCGUACCGCAAACCGACACAGGUAGUCAAGAUGAGAAUUCUAAGGUGAGCGAGCGAACUCUCGUUAAGGAACUCGGCAAAAUGACCCCGUAACUUCGGGAGAAGGGGUGCUCUUUAGGGUUAACGCCCAGAAGAGCCGCAGUGAAUAGGCCCAAGCGACUGUUUAUCAAAAACACAGGUCUCUGCUAAACCGUAAGGUGAUGUAUAGGGGCUGACGCCUGCCCGGUGCUGGAAGGUUAAGAGGAGUGGUUAGCUUCUGCGAAGCUACGAAUCGAAGCCCCAGUAAACGGCGGCCGUAACUAUAACGGUCCUAAGGUAGCGAAAUUCCUUGUCGGGUAAGUUCCGACCCGCACGAAAGGCGUAACGAUUUGGGCACUGUCUCAACGAGAGACUCGGUGAAAUCAUAGUACCUGUGAAGAUGCAGGUUACCCGCGACAGGACGGAAAGACCCCGUGGAGCUUUACUGUAGCCUGAUAUUGAAAUUCGGCACAGCUUGUACAGGAUAGGUAGGAGCCUUUGAAACGUGAGCGCUAGCUUACGUGGAGGCGCUGGUGGGAUACUACCCUAGCUGUGUUGGCUUUCUAACCCGCACCACUUAUCGUGGUGGGAGACAGUGUCAGGCGGGCAGUUUGACUGGGGCGGUCGCCUCCUAAAAGGUAACGGAGGCGCUCAAAGGUUCCCUCAGAAUGGUUGGAAAUCAUUCAUAGAGUGUAAAGGCAUAAGGGAGCUUGACUGCGAGACCUACAAGUCGAGCAGGGUCGAAAGACGGACUUAGUGAUCCGGUGGUUCCGCAUGGAAGGGCCAUCGCUCAACGGAUAAAAGCUACCCCGGGGAUAACAGGCUUAUCUCCCCCAAGAGUUCACAUCGACGGGGAGGUUUGGCACCUCGAUGUCGGCUCAUCGCAUCCUGGGGCUGUAGUCGGUCCCAAGGGUUGGGCUGUUCGCCCAUUAAAGCGGUACGCGAGCUGGGUUCAGAACGUCGUGAGACAGUUCGGUCCCUAUCCGUCGUGGGCGUAGGAAAUUUGAGAGGAGCUGUCCUUAGUACGAGAGGACCGGGAUGGACAUACCUCUGGUGUACCAGUUGUCGUGCCAACGGCAUAGCUGGGUAGCUAUGUGUGGACGGGAUAAGUGCUGAAAGCAUCUAAGCAUGAAACCCCCCUCAAGAUGAGAUUUCCCAACUUCGGUUAUAAGAUCCCUCAAAGAUGAUGAGGUUAAUAGGUUCGAGGUGGAAGCAUGGUGACAUGUGGAGCUGACGAAUACUAAUCGAUCGAAGACUUAAUCAAAUU